rnacentral:rRNA from 1 species
UACGUAGGGUGCGAGCGUUGUCCGGAAUUAUUGGGCGUAAAGGGCUCGUAGGCGGUUUGUCGCGUCGGGAGUGAAAUCCACUGGCUUAACUGGUGGCUUGCUUUCGAUACGGGCAGACUGGAGGUAUGCAGGGGAGAACGGAAUUCCUGGUGUAGCGGUGAAAUGCGGCAGAAUAUCAGGAGGAACACCGGUGGCGAAAGGG